rnacentral:lncRNA from 1 species
CAACGGCGCCCAGCCCGCCAGAAGAGCGCGAGGCGAGCAGACGGCAGGGAGCCGGUCGGGGAAGGAGCGGAGCCCGCAGCAGCGCCGGAGGUAGGCGCUCUCGAGGGCAGGGCAGCCGCAGCAGCGAGCCUGUGGGCGUAGUGCGGCUCUGGCGGCGGGAGUGGCGGCCUCGAGGAGUGGGACGAAGGCGGCGUGGAGCUAGGGGUCCCGGCCUCGCCGCGCUCAGUUCCACGAAGCGGUCGCCUCCGGUGUCCCCCGAGAGCCUCAGAGCAGAGAGCGUGUGUGGGCUGAGGUCUUUCCAUAGACAAAAGGAAACUUACCUGAUCCAAUCUGCCAGACUUGGGAAAGGGAAGGUAAGAACUCAAAGGGCUUUCUUUCUGAGCAUGAGGGGAUGUCCUUGGGGGCACUAUGGGUGUUCAGAUAUGCCCUGAUGAAAAAGGAUCUGGCAAAGGGAAGUUGUACUGGGACUUUGGCCAGUAGGAGGCAUCUGUGAUACCAUGAGUGUCCUUCAAGAAACAAAUAGUUUUUCUACUCCAACUCAGAAACCAUGGCUAUGCCCCACUACAUAGAGAAGUCAUUUUUUUUCUGAUACCCGAUGAUAG